ensembl:lncRNA
AUUCAAUUUGUUAUAUAAAUAACACACAAUAAACAUUUUUAAUGCUAUAAAUACUUUUGCGUGGGCAUAACAGAUCUUACGUGAGAUCUCAUUUUCUGAAACUUUCUAGUGCCUCAUUAACUAAAUCUUGAAGUUUGUACAUUGUAUUUUUUAAAUCCAUUUGUGGCUAAAAGCAUGUGCACAAAUAUUAAUGUUAACUAUUGCCAAACUAUUGUUUAAGUCUCUCUAAUAACAUUUGUUUUACUGUAUUAUUAUUAAUCAUGUGAUUCCAAUGUUCUUGCUCGUUGACUUGAGAUUUUUUUCCACCUCCACUUUGAUUUCUGACUUCAUUCUGUCUUUUUUUCUUCAGUCUAUCUGUCUGUGAAGUAUAGAAAAUAUUCAUGUGAAGUUUGAUGAUAGGCAUAACAUAUUGGAACAUCCAGAAAUAUUAAGGAGUAUAGAUGUGUGUGCAGCAUUUUUUGUCACGUGUUCAUAUUUAAAGCAAUUGAUUGUAGAUGUUAGAAGAAAAGUCAAAGUAUAUGAAGAAAUAUCUCACUGUUACAAGGUUUUUAACAUAAUCACUAAAGAUCAACAAAAAAUUCUCAUUUUUUCCCCCAAUACUAUAAGAUAACCUUCAUCAGAUCAAGUUGAUUUCUAAUGUAUCUAAACACUCUGCCCUGUGUUUCGGUUGUUGUUGUUUGUUUUGUUUUGUUUGUUUGGAUUUUAUAUUUAUUAUUUUAUUUCUCUAUUCGAAGUUGAGAUAUUUCCUCUUUAUUUAUCAGUUUGGCUAGUUAUGUUGAAGAAUGUGAUACUUUAGGAAAAAGUGAUUCACUUCACAAAGAACUGCUUUCAGUCACUGAAGUCAAUUAUUUUUGGUUAAAUAUCUUUCCAGAGAAAUCAAGGCUUAUUUUCUGAUUUGAACUUUGCAGCAUUUCUUACACAUCUUGUCUUGCUUCACUGAGUCAUGUAACUUGGCUGUGCUCAAACUGCAAUUAAAAAGAACUUUUUUUUAGUAUAGUGUCAAAUGCAGAUUUUGUCUCAAUUAAGCACUAAUAGAACUUUUUAAUGUAUUAAAGUCCCUUUGUCAUAAGUCUUAACAAAACACUUGCCACAAGUCUUAGCCUGCUGUGCCCUGGAGGCAUCAACUUCACUAUUGUAACAGAUGACUGACCACACUUGGAAAAAGUGGCAGAGGUUCAUUGAGUGUAAUGUAUUGUGAGUGUGUGUCAUUCCUGUAACUAUCUUGGAAACUCUUUGAAGAGUCUGUCUUUUGUUACCAGAAACUGCUAAAGUGAUGAUUCACUAUCGAUUAGUAGUUCUCAUGUACCUGUAUGAAGUUAAUGAACAGGAGUAUCUGGAAUCCAAUUGUGCUAGUGUCAUUUUGUGAUAUUCUUAAUGCAGUACUGAGCCUACAAAACAGCUUUGAGACAGCUGGCUACUUAAAUUUACAAAAUGGGGAGAACAAAGGAAAUCAGUCAUUGUACAGAUAAUCAGUAGAUGGAUAACACAAAUGUUUGGCAGUAAGAUCUGUUGAUGAAUAAUUGUAUUGUUUACUAAAUGUUGUAGAUAUUGAGGGAACAUCUAAAAAACUUGGAUGCCUUUUUCUAUUCUAUAACAGUAAAUGUUAUAUUUACAUUUAUAUGAUUUUUCUAACUGUCGUAUUAUGUGGGAAUAAAUCUGUAGCUUCAAAAAGGAGCAAUAUUCCCCCUGAAAUAUUUUUUUUCCAUUUAUUGGAAAAGAAAAAUUACUUAGCUAUUUCAUGAACAAAUUUCGUAGGUAAUUACUGCAUGUGAACAAAUUCUUUUCCUCUCCAUUAUCUGUUUCUAUUAGAAUUUAUUUAUAAUAAAUUAUUAAAAAUAAUAAUUUAUAAGUACCAUUAUGCACUGAUAUUCUUAGAGCUCUCUAUUAAACACUGUCAACAUAAAACUAGGAAAUGAUCAUUAAUGAUUCUUAAAGUGCUAAGAAUAAAUUAAUAAAGAGUUCUAUUUGACUUUUAAAAGCUAUAUUUAUUCCUAUGAAAUUCAGCAGGUAAGGAAAUAAUUAAAAAACAGGAGCCUGUUCUGUGUAAUACCAGGUUACCUACAUGAUUACUCUCAGUUAGUUAGUUGGUUAUUUUUCUGCAUCCCAUCUUAUCAUUGCUGUUUGCCUGCUUUGUUAUGUUUUAGUGUCAUCUUUAUGUGGUGCUUUUAAAUUGUCAGAAAAUUAAUUAAUGUGAGAACAACUAUAAAGCAUCUAUUUUAUAGGUAUGUUGGGCUUGGCAAUGCCUGUAACUUCUGUGGACUGGAUUUACUUGAGAAAUAUGAUUUUCUUUUCUUUCCGUUGUUAUGUUUUAUGUUUUGUCUAAGGACUAAAUAAAUCAAGGAGAAGGAUAAGGAAUUCACUGUUACCCUGCUAUUGACAUUGUGCCAAGGUGGGUGAAUGGUAAAGCUCCAGAUUUUUGCUCAUCCCACUCAGAUUUUGAAUCCCACUCUACUGUCAACAGCAAAUCCUGUCCUCUGCAGACCUCCUAGACCACGUGUGAUUUAGUGAUGGACCAGUGAAGGACAGGGAAGAGCUUUAAUCCACUUUUCUGAUUGCUGAUGAUUUAAGAGAGGGUAACUAGAUUUUUCCAAUGCUAGAGCAUGAGUAGGAUAUGAAUAAUAUUGUUUCUGAAGAGGUAUAUUUUUGUUUUAACCCCAGUCUGAGUUGGUUUGUGCAGAAUUAUAGAGCUCUCCUGUGUUAAAAAUGAUCAUAUCACAGCAUUUGGCCAGACACUGUGCAGCAACUUAUUUCUAGACAUUCUAAGACGUGAUAAAAUGUGCAUUGAUUUAACUUGCAAUUGUCUAGUAUAAGAAAUGUCACAGUACAAUAGUCCUGAUUUAAUGCACUUGUACAUGUACUGUACAGACAGAAUACUGCAGUCUGUGGUACUGAUAGAAUAAUUUCAUUCCAUGCCCAGGAGUGCAUGACUCAUUGGUCUUAGCCAGUUCUUUUGCAUCAAUUGAUGUGCUUGUUUAAAGUGAAUAGUGCAAUUGAGAGGGUGCUCUGUUAACAGAAAUCCCACUGCUUUUCCUUUAUGCCUCAUCUUUGCUGGGGCAAAAAUAUCUGACCUGACAGAGAAGGAAAUGUAUGGUUAAACUGUUCGGUAUUGUACACUGCACAGAACCAGAUGCAUCCCUCUGGUCACGACACUCAGAAAUGCAGUUUGAGGGGAAAAAAGAUGCUUUGUCUGAAAUACAAUUGCUUUGUAUGCUUUUAUAUUUCCUAAACUGUCAUUCAUAAUGAAUAUAAAUGCUACCAUACGCUUCUAUUCUUUAAAGCCAGAAAAAGAAGCCAGCACCUGCCUGUUUUACAUGGAAUAGAUACUAGCUUACAUUAAUCCUGCUUCACCCAUGUAGGGCCACUUAUGUAAUGAUUUCAGCUGAAGUCUUUUAAUGUGUUUGUGUAGCAAUGCCUGCUGUGUAACCACCCAGGGAAAACAAAGAAUGGAAGAGUGACUCUCAUUUCCCAUUUCCAAAGUCCAAAGAAUAAAUAAAAGAAAAGCUUAUGUUUCUCUGCGUGCACAUCUUUGAUAAUUUAGAAUUAUUUUAAAUGAGCAAAGGGGCAAUCCAGGAUAUGUCUGACAGUCUUCCUUGUUUCCAGCCUUCUUUGCUCCUGUGCAUUCUUUCCUCAUUCACUGUCUAGACAAUAUUGGAAGAGUAGCCACAUUUCUCUUUACAGUAAAUAUCAGAAUGGUAAAGCAAACAGGAUGGAUCACUGACUAUCUGGUUACAAAUCAAUAAAGUAAAAGAUUGAAGGAAUUUAAUGAAGACCUCAAAUUAUUCUGAGUUAACACAUUUAGUGUCAGUUUUGUAACUCUUGCUUUCUUCUGGAUAUAAGUUGUCAGUGAGCAGGUUAUCAGUAUUUUAACCUUGAUUUUAAGAUUUUAAAAAUAAAGGACGUAAAGGAGUAUUUCUGUCUCACCCACUCUCACAAGAGCAAAUGAAUAUUUCCCCUUCCCAUAAACUGUGCUGAAAAUUAUUCAUAAUCACUAGUUAUGUAUCCAGCCAUCUCAGAUCUCCUUUUAAAUACUGAAUCCCUUGAUAUAUUUUAUUCAUAUAAUACUGCUCAUAUUUAGUAACAACAAUGGUGAUAUCACUCAUCAACAUUUUUUUUUUUCAAAUGAUCAUUAAAUCAAGGUUAAAAUAUUGGUCUAGAUAUACUGGUCAGCCUGGGGCAGGAAAGGCUCUGGGGGGUCCCACAGUACUACCCUGUCUGCAGUCUGGGGAUGGAUAAGAUGGAACCAGGCUCUUCACAGAGGUGCAUGGAGGGAGGAUCGAAGACAAUGGAC